AAACUUUUUUCAACUCGUAACGACUGUGCUGCAAUCCAAAACAUUGGGCACUACAUAGUAUGGGAACUCGGCCGAUUCAUCUACAUCUGCAAAAGCAAAACAUAUUCAACAGAAGUCAAUUGCUCUGAAGUGUCGCGGUUUUUGCGAUAAAAAUAUUCCAAGAUCUAUAUAUAACGUCGUUAUAAUAGCUUCGAUCUUCGUUAUUGUUGUCAUUGGCAGCUUUCGAGAUGAUUGUUUCCAGAAGUUAUUUCGUUGCAAAACGCAUCUUCUUUACAACUGCAAAAGUGAAUCUGCUUACAGGUAUUACCAGUUCUUAUCCGUUCACAAACGUUUGAUAUGGCCUGAUAGAUGGGCAUAAUAUCCAUAUGGUUUUUCCUUAAUAUUCAUAAAUUCUAU